rnacentral:rRNA from 1 species
GACGAACGCUGGCGGCGUGCCUAAUACAUGCAAGUAGAACGCAGUUGCGAACGGGUGAGUAACGCGUAGGUAACCUGCCUCAUAGCGGGGGAUAACUAUUGGAAACGAUAGCUAAUACCGCAUACUGUGAGAUGGACCUGCGUUGUAUUAGCUAGUUGGUGAGGUAAAGGCUCACCAAGGCGACGAUACAUAGCCGACCUGAGAGGGUGAUCCGCCACCCUGGGACUGAGACCCCGUCCCGACUCCUACGGGAGGGAGCAGUGGGGAAUAUUGGACAAUGGGCGCAAGCCUUAUUCCGCCAUGCCGCGUGUAUGAAGAAGGCCUUCGGGUUUUAAAGUUCUUUCAGCGGGGAGGCGUUACCCGCAGAAGAAGCACCGGCUAACUCCGUGCCAGCAGCCGCGGUAAUAC